rnacentral:rRNA from 1 species
GAUGAACGCUGGCGGCGUGCCUAAUACAUGCAAGUCGAGCGAAUGGAUUAAGAGCUUGCUCUUAUGAAGUUAGCGGCGGACGGGUGAGUAACACGUGGGUAACCUGCCCAUAAGACUGGGAUAACUCCGGGAAACCGGGGCUAAUACCGGAUAACAUUUUGAACCGCAUGGUUCGAAAUUGAAAGGCGGCUUCGGCUGUCACUUAUGGAUGGACCCGCGUCGCAUUAGCUAGUUGGUGAGGUAACGGCUCACCAAGGCGAAGAUGCGUAGCCGACCUGAGAGGGGGAUCAGCCACACUGGGACGGAGACACGGCCCAGACUCCUACGGGAGGCAGCAGUAGGGAAUCUUCCGCAAUGGACGAAAGUCUGACGGAGCAACGCCGCGUGAGUGAUGAAGGCUUUCGGGUCGUAAAACUCUGUUGUUAGGGAAGAACAAGUGCUAGUUGAAUAAGCUGGCACCUUGACGGUACCUAACCAGAAAGCCACGGCUAACUACGUGCCAGCCGCCGCGGUAA